rnacentral:lncRNA from 1 species
GCAUCAAUAGAAUGUCGUACUUUUUUUUUUCAAAAGCUAUAUUAAAGAGGGUUCAUUUUAUAAAUUUUGCAUAUGAACCCCGGAAUUUCAAAGAUGGCCUGGUUUCCUCUUUUCACAUGCGUCCGUUUAGAUGAGAGUGAAAAUACUUAGCAUCGUUGAGCGACUCAUGUAAUGUGAUUCAAUAUAGAGAAAUUUUCAUACCACAUGGUUCUCGUUUUAUGCUAAAUUGAAUAUCUAUAAGAAUUAUUCUGUUCAAUUACUAAUCUGAUUAUAUUGAUAUUAGGAUAAAUUAAGUUCUCAUCCUCAUUUUCCCUUCUCAUUAAUUAAAACCUUAUUUCCUUUUCAUUUUUUAUUAAAGUUCUUUGACUUUUGUUGACACACCCCGACCGGAAUCAGGGUAUGUUGGCCGUCACGUGGGAGUGACGUAACCAUGUGCACAGUGCGGAAGCAAUAGAGAUAUAAGGAAUUACGAACAAACAAAAACCAAAUCAACUAGAGUACUAGAUAAGAUAAGGUGCAAGUGCGAAAUUAAGUGUGAAAUACACAACCAGAGCAUAAUAUCCUAGAUGCAGUCAAGCAGGGCAAGUACUAAGAGUACAACACCCGAGGGUGAUCCUACAUGGUGAUGUUCUGUCAGAACCCCCGUCAGAAUCCUCGUGAUCCACCAAGCACUUUUACUUAAAACCUGAAGGGGCGCAAAGCAGAAAGUGUGAGUGGGCAAAAACAAAACUUUUCAAAAUCAUUUCAUUUCUCAAAAGUUCUAACUCCUCGCCGUAAAACCUGUAUAAUUUUCCCAGAAAAAUAGAAUAUAUACAUAUCUCAAAACUAUGCUCAGAAAACGAUAUUCAUAAGUAUGCCAUGCCCAAGUAUCACAAUGCAAUGCUAUAGGUAAACCAGGCAAAAUAUAUAAAUAUCAAAUAUCGCAUCAGCCAAAUCUCUUUAAUUCAAACUACACUGCUGAGUAUAUAGCUCAUAACCAAUCUC